CUACGGGUGGCAGCAGUGAGGAAUAUUGCACAAUGGGGGGAACCCUGAUGCAGCAACGCCGUGUGGAGGAUGACGCAUUUCGGUGUGUAAACUCCUUUUAUAUGUCAAGAGAAUGACGGUAGCAUAUGAAUAAGCACCGGCUAGACUCCGUGCCAGCAGCCGCGGUAAUACGGAGGGUGCAAGCGUUACUCGGAAUCACUGGGCGUAAAGGACGCGUAGGCGGGUUGGAAAGUCAGGUGUGAAAUCCUACAGCUUAACUGUAGAACUGCACUUGAAACUUCUAAUCUAGAGUAUGGGAGGGGGAGAUGGAAUUAGUGGUGUAGGGGUAAAAUCCGUAGAUAUCACUAGGAAUACCUAAAGCGAAGGCGAUCUCCUGGAACAUUACUGACGCUAAGGCGUGAAAGCGUGGGGAGCAAACAGGAUUAGAUACCCUAGUAGUC
rnacentral:rRNA from 1 species